CACCGCUGCACUCCAGCCUGGGCAACAAGAGCAAGACUCUGUCACACACACACACACACACACAAAGAAAAAUACAGACACACAAAGGAUAUUAUAGAAAUGCACCAAACAUGAAUUACUGGCACAGAUAUAAUAUUUCAAAACAUUAGUUAAUAUUAGAUUGAGACAUCCUAUUACAAUAUUAAAACCAUGCCCCUUUCAAUUCAAGUGAGCACUUCUAUCUCCAUUCCAAGACCCUGUGAUUUUAUACACAUUUAACACAACAGCAACAAUAACAGUAAUGCUAGCUACUAUUUGUUAUGCCCUUAAUGAGUGCCAAGCUCGGCUAAAUAUGUAAAACAUGUUUUGUUUGUUUUAUUGAUGAAGAGAUGAUGUCUUAAACAACCAGAAGAUACUGCAAGUUCAAAGUCCUGGAGGCCAGAAGGAGCUUGUAUUCAAGAAACAGAAAAGAAAUAUAAGAAAACAUAUUUUCUCAAGGAAAUCCUCUGAUGCCCUGCUGGCACUUCCCAUUGGCUGGAUCGAACUGGAACCCCAAGAUCAAGGAAUCCUCUGUGAUGGCAUCCAUGGGGGUCCGCUUCGUGGGGGAGCACCAAGCAGGGUGGAAAACCCUGAGGAACCAACCCUGCUCCCCACUCCAGCUUUCUCACCCUUCACCUCCAGCCCCAGGACAAGAUGAGCAGGAGGAGGGGCAGCUGCCCAACACUCACUGAGGAGUCAGCCUCUGGACCUCAGAGCCAGCAACACCCCCUGCACUCACACCCGCACCUCAUCCUGCUGCCUUCUCCUGAGGAGGGGAAACUGAGGCCCAGAGAGGGAGGGCAUGAGCUCUAAUUCGAGUCCUCUGGGACGACAGCAGCACCUCAUCACAUGCACACCGAGAACCAACACACAUUUUUCUGGACCGCAGGAUAUUUUAAAAGGUUUUCUUUUUUAAUACAGAAAAGCAUAAAGACGAAAAUGGUCUGUAAUGCUGCCACACAGAUAAUCCCAGUGGUAUUUUUAAAAUAAAGUUAAUGAAUGCCCAUGUUUGCAAAAUUCAAACCAUACCAAAGGAUUAUAAAAUGAAAACUCAAACCUUUUCCAUCACAGUCGCUCUCCUCAGAAGCGAUGCCGCUUUGUUUCCUUGCUGAAGACAUUGGCGUGCCAGCAUUUUUUACCUAUAAAAAGAAAAUCACUCUGCCCACUAUUUUGGACCUUGCCAUUUUUUCACCUCAAACACAUCUUGGCAGAUCUUUCCACAUCCACACUGCUAAUCUGCCUCCUUCUUUCUAAG